rnacentral:rRNA from 1 species
AUUGAACGCUGGCGGCGUGCUUUACACAUGCAAGUCGGACGAGUGGCGGACGGGUGAGUAAUGCAUCGGAACGUACCGAGUAGAGGGGGAUAACUGUUCGAAAGGACAGCUAAUACCGCAUAUUAUUCGAGCGGCCGAUGUGUGAGUAGCUGGUUGGGGGGGUAAAGGCCCACCAAGGCGACGAUCAGUAGCGGGUCUGAGAGGAUGAUCCGCCACACGGGGACUGAGACACGGCCAAGACUCCUACGGGAGGCAGCAGUGGGGAAUUUUGGGCAAUGGGCGCAAGCCUGAUCCAGCCAUGCCGCGUGACUGAAGAAGGCCUUCGGGUUGUAAAGGACUUUUGUCAGGGAAGCGGUACCUGAAGAAUAAGCACCGGCUAACUACGUGCCAGCAGCCGCGGUAAUUC